GAUGAACGCUGGCGGCGUGCCUAAUACAUGCAAGUCGAGCGAACGGACGAGAAGCUUGCUUCUCUGAUGUUAGCGGCGGACGGGUGAGUAACACGUGGAUAACCUACCUAUAAGACUGGGAUAACUUCGGGAAACCGGAGCUAAUACCGGAUAAUAUUUUGAACCGCAUGGUUCAAAAGUGAAAGACGGUCUUGCUGUCACUUAUAGAUGGAUCCGCGCUGCAUUGGCUAGUUGGUAAGGUAACGGCUUACCAAGGCAACGAUGCAUAGCCGACCUGAGAGGGUGGUGGGCCAGACUGGAACUGAGACACGGUCCAGACUCCUACGGGAGGCAGCAGUAGGGAAUCUUCCGCAAUGGGCGAAAGCCUGACGGAGCAACGCCGCGUGAGUGAUGAAGGUCUUCGGAUCGUAAAACUCUGUUAUUCGGGAAGAACAUAUGUGUAAGUAACUGUGCACAUCUUGACGGUACCUAAUCAGAAAGCCACGGCUAACUACGUG
rnacentral:rRNA from 1 species